rnacentral:lncRNA from 1 species
AAUGCACGAAUUUGGUGACCCGAAUUUGCUUGGAAUAGUUUUGGGCUUCAGUUUCAUCUUCAUGAAUCUUGGCUUGGGUUGGAAUUGGUUGGCAGUUUACUUCUUAAUGGAUAACAAACUUUGAUAUCGUCAAGAGAGAAAUAAUCCAACAAGAGUUACAUGUGCUCCUUUGCUAUUUUAAGCAAAUACUAUAUUAUUACAUGCUUAUGAAUGCUUUCUCCCUCUUGAUUUUCUCUUAUUUAUUCCAAAGAAGUAGAAAGCAUGGAGAAAUAUUCUCAGCAUUUCAUUUUCAAAUGAUGAGAUUCAAUGGGCCAAAUUCAUUUGUGCUUGAAGGCCGAGUAGAUCCUGGUGCUCGUUGUGCCAAUAAAAAGAGUGGAAAAAUGUAUAGAGAAAGCCACUCACAAUUUAUAGAAGAGUCUUUUAAUUAAAAUUUUUAAGACAAAAUAAUUGAAAAUUUUUUUGAACUAUUUAAAAAAAUUUAAACAAGCUUUUAUUCUUCUAUUACAUUUAAUAAAAGUCUUAUAUUUUUAUUUUGAAUUAAAUAAUCUUUUAUUAUGAUCAAUGGUUAACUAAUUGUUAUUAAUCAAAAUAUCACUUUAUCAUUUAAUAUUCACGUGAUGUUAACAUAAAUAGUAAAAAAUACCAUAUGACCAUACCACAUCAACACAUCACAUCAUCAUCCACUACGACAUGUCAACAUGUCACGAGAUAUAUAAAGACAAAUGACAUUUUGACUAAUAACAAUUAAUCAACUAUUAAUUAUAAAGAUUUAUUUGACUUAAAAAAUAUAAAAAUUUGAUUGAACAUAAAAAAAGAAUAAAGACUUAUUUGACUUUUUUAAAACAAUAAAAAGCAAACCAAACAAUAGAAAAAAGAAAUCUUACUGAUUGUAUUGAAAAAGGAAAGCAAAUACAAGCCCAAGACAAAUAGAACAUGAGAAAGGGAGAGAAGCAUACAACUGAGACUCAAAUUGAGAAAGGGUGAUCGAAUCCACCUAAAUUGGAAACAAGGAAAGAGUAAUGGAGCCAAGGACUUAGUCAUAACACAAAAAUGGAUUGUGUAAAAGUUAUAAUGAAGAAAGAAAAACCUAGGCGACAGAAGUCGGAGAGAAAAGAAGAAAUACAAAUAAGGAAAAAGAAAGAAAAAAAAAAGAAAAAGUAACGUACUCGGGAAGCUUCCAAAGAAUAGCAAAGUCAAAGUGAAAGUGAAAACGUCACAUCCCAUUUCUGAAAGGUUCAUGAUCGAAGCAUGAACUUACAUGAGUAUAGCCCAUUAGGUCCAAGCAAACCUUAAUAAAUAAUGUAUGGGCUAGUCAUCCAUUACAUUCACAAACAUUUCCAUUCAUAGAUUAGAAUUUAUAAAUAAUUCAUCAAAAUCACAUCAUUACGGAACUUCUCAACAUAACAUGUAGUUUGUAUCUCAUUUCAUAUAAAUAUUCACAAUGUUUAUAUCAACUGUGAUCCAGCACACAUCCCGUGUCUAUAUCGCCAUAGUUCAUCUAUCAUAGUCUUAACAUUUAUAUGUACCUAUUUUCAAGGCUCAACAUAAUAUUCACAAACAUAAACAAGUACAAGGUGGAAAAAGAAACGAAAAAAGAAUUUUGUUUUUUCUAUUUUUUAAAAAAAUGUUAUUUUGACACGUG